GGGGAGCAGGUACACAAUUACCAAGUGUAACAGUAACUUUACUACGGGCCUUCACUUAAUUGCGGGCCGCAGCUAUAGCAGAUGUAGUCUAUCAAACAUGCAAAUAAUGCUAGAAAUAUAAACAAUCAAGUCUUAUAUUCCCUAUCAAACAGGCCCUUAGUUAAUAACAUCUCUCCUUCACCCCCAAUUACAUUUUCUAUACCUCAAUAAUGUUAUAGAUUAAAUUUUGAAAGACAAAAACAACCUUUGCCUACUACACCGAUGACCCGAUAGAAUUGUUGAAGGUAAGGUACUAGGAGUGAGGCGGCGGCUCUUCGCUUACCGGAAUUACGAUCGCCUUCGCCAGGAUUUGAGGUGGUACCAACCAUGAAUUUGGCCAAAAAUCGAAGGAAAGUUCAUAGCAGCGAAGGUGCUGUCCAUUCAGGCGAGGGGAGAAAGUCGGCGAUAGCCUGCCAUAGGAAAAUCAAUGACAGAGAGACAUGGUGAAGGAGAUAGUGGGGUUCGGUGCGGGAGAGUAGAGAGAAAGAUGAUACAUUGGACAUUGCCGCCACCACCCACAAACCGUCACGCCACACCGCCGCAUCGAGAGUCUCUGUCACACCUCCUCAAUUUCUCGUGCCUUUCCGUAAUUAUGAUUUUUUCUCGUUAUAAAUUUUUUUAUAUAAUUGAUGGAAUUCCUCGAGGUAUGGAAAUUUUUGGGUAAUUGAUGUAAUUUCUCUUUCUACAAUAGAGGGAAUUUCUCUUUCUAUUUCUGUAAUUUCUUGUGUGUUGGUUGUUGGGGACGAUGGGUGGGUGGUGCUACUGAAGGGGGUAGGUGGUGUUAGUUGUUGGGGCGGUGGUGUUGAAUGCUGCUGAAGGUUUUCUGGACAGAGAGAAGAUGGUGGGAGAGGUGGUAUUGUGGUGGUGGUACUGAAGUUUUUUCUUCUAGGUGCUGGAAGAUAGGGGUGGUGUUGCUACGAUGGUAUUGUAGCGCUGCCGCUGAAGCUUUCUCUUUUGGUGUUGGGGUGGGGUUUCAGAGUUUG
rnacentral:lncRNA from 1 species